rnacentral:rRNA from 1 species
CACCCCGACGAGGGGAGUGAAACAGUACCUGAAACCGGAUGCCUACAAACAGUUGGAGCCCAAGGUUUGUCCUGGGUGACAGCGUACCUUUUGUAUAAUGGGUCAGCGACUUAGUGUAUCGAGCAAGCUUAAGCCGGUAGGUGUAGGCGCAGCGAAAGCGAGUCUGAACAGGGCGUUCAGUUCGAUGCAUUAGACCCGAAACCAAGUGAUCUAGCCAUGAGCAGGUUGAAGGUACGGUAACACGUACUGGAGGACCGAACCCAUAUCUGUUGCAAUAGAUCGGGAUGACUUGUGGCUAGGGGUGAAAGGCCAAUCAAACUUGGAGAUAGCUGGUUCUCCGCGAAAUCUAUUUAGGUAGAGCGUCGACCGAAUACCCCCGGGGGUAGAGCACUGGAUGGGCUAUGGGGACUCACCGUCUUACUGAUCCUAACCAAACUCCGAAUACCGGGGAGUACUAGUCGGCAGACACACGGCGGGUGCUAACGUCCGUCGUGGAGAGGGCAACAACCCUGACCACCAUCUAAGGUCCCUAAGUUAUGGCUAAGUGGGAAAGGAUGUGAGGAUCCCAAAACAACCAGGAUGUUGGCUUAGAAGCAGCCAUCAUUUAAAGAAAGCGUAACAGCUCACUGGUCUAAAUAAGGGUCUUUGCGCCGAAAAUGUACCGGGGCUCAAGCCAUACACCGAAGCUGUGGAUGCACGUAUGUGCGUGGUAGCGGAGCGUUCCGUAAGCCUGUGAAGGGACAGUCGUGAGACAUCCUGGAGGUAUCGGAAGUGAGAAUGCUGACAUGAGUAACGAUAAAGGGAGUGAGAGACUCCCUCGCCGAAAGUCCAAGGGUUCCUGCUUAAAGUUAAUCUGAGCAGGGUUAGCCGGCCCCUAAGGCGAGGCCGAAAGGCGUAGUCGAUGGGAACCACGUUAAUAUUCGUGGGCCUGCAGGUAGUGACGGAUCGCGUGUGUUGUGAGGUCUUAUUGGAUUGAUCUUGCAGCGAAGCGGUUCCAGGAAAUAGCUCCUGCAUAUAGACCGUACCCUAAACCGACACUGGUGGACUGGUAGAGAAUACCAAGGCGCUUGAGAGAACUGCGUUGAAGGAACUCGGCAAAAUGCACGCGUAACUUCGGAAGAAGCGUGACCUCACUAUGGGCAACCAUAGGGGGGUGGCACAGACCAGGGGGUAGCGACUGUUUACCAAAAACACAGGGCUCUGCAAAGUCGCAAGACGACGUAUAGGGUCUGACGCCUGCCCGGUGCUGGAAGGUUAAGAGGAGAGGUGCAAGCCUUGAAUUGAAGCCCCAGUAAACGGCGGCCGUAACUAUAACGGUCCUAAGGUAGCGAAAUUCCUUGUCGGGUAAGUUCCGACCUGCACGAAUGGCGUAACGACUUCCCCGCUGUCUCCAACGCAGACUCAGUGAAAUUGAAUUCCCCGUGAAGAUGCGGGGUUCCUGCGGUUAGACGGAAAGACCCCGUGCACCUUUACUAUAGCUUUACACUGGCAUUCGUGACGACAUGUGUAGGAUAGGUGGUAGACUUUGAAGCAGGGGCGCCAGCCUUUGUGGAGUCACCCUUGAAAUACCACCCUUGUUUUUAUGGAUGUCUAACUGCGGCCCGUUAUCCGGGUCCAGGACCGUGUAUGGUGGGUAGUUUGACUGGGGCGGUCGCCUCCUAAAGAGUAACGGAGGCGCGCGAUGGUAGGCUCAGAACGGUCGGAAAUCGUUCGUCGAGUGCAAUGGCAUAAGCCUGCCUGACUGCAAGACUGACAAGUCGAGCAGAGACGAAAGUCGGUCAUAGUGAUCCGGUGGUCCCGCGUGGAAGGGCCAUCGCUCAACGGAUAAAAGGUACGCCGGGGAUAACAGGCUGAUGACCCCCAAGAGUCCAUAUCGACGGGGUUGUUUGGCACCUCGAUGUCGACUCAUCGCAUCCUGGGGCUGGAGCAGGUCCCAAGGGUAUGGCUGUUCGCCAUUUAAAGCGGUACGUGAGUUGGGUUCAGAACGUCGUGAGACAGUUCGGUCCCUAUCUGCCGUGGGUGUAGGAAUAUUGACAGGAUCUGUCCCUAGUACGAGAGGACCGGGAUGGACGUAUCUCUGGUGGACCUGUUGUGGCGCCAGCCGCAUAGCAGGGUAGCUAUAUACGGACGGGAUAACCGCUGAAGGCAUCUAAGCGGGAAACCCACCUGAAAACGAGUAUUCCCUAUCAGAGCCGUGGAAGACCACCACGUUGAUAGGCCGGGUGUGGAAGUGCGGCAACGCAUGCAGCUUACCGGUACUAAUAGCUCGAUCGACUUGAUCAC